UUACGGGUAGAUCUCCCACCCUGUGUUAUUAUUACCUUUGUUGCUUUGGCGGGCCGUCUAGCUUCGGCCAGGCUACCGGCUCCGGCUGGUAAGCGCCCGCCAGAGGACCCCAAACCCUGAAUGUUAGUGUCGUCUGAGUACUAUAUAAUAGUUAAAACUUUCAACAACGGAUCUCUUGGUUCUGGCAUCGAUGAAGAACGCAGCGAAAUGCGAUAAGUAAUGUGAAUUGCAGAAUUCAGUGAAUCAUCGAAUCUUUGAACGCACAUUGCGCCCCUUGGUAUUCCGAGGGGCAUGCCUGUUCGAGCGUCAUUACAACCCUCAAGCACUGCUUGGUGUUGGGCCUCGCCGCUAACCCGGCGGGCUCUAAAAACAGUGGCGGUGCCGUCGGGCUCUGAGCGUAGUAAUUCUUCUCGCUAUAGAGUCCCAGUGGAUGCUGGCCAACAACCCCCAAUUUUCUAUGGUUGACCUCGGAUCAGGUA
rnacentral:rRNA from 1 species